AGGAUUAGCUAGUUGGUGGGGUAAAGGCCUACCAAGGCGACGAUCCUUAGCUGGUCUGAGAGGAUGAUCAGCCACACUGGGACUGAGACACGGCCCAGACUCCUACGGGAGGCAGCAGUGGGGAAUAUUGGACAAUGGGCGAAAGCCUGAUCCAGCAAUGCCGCGUGAGUGAUGAAGGCCCUAGGGUUGUAAAGCUCUUUUACCCGGGAUGAUAAUGACAGUACCGGGAGAAUAAGCUCCGGCUAACUCCGUGCCAGCAGCCGCGGUAAUACGGAGGGAGCUAGCGUUGUUCGGAAUUACUGGGCGUAAAGCGUGCGCAGGCGGAUUGUUAAGCAAGAUGUGAAAUCCCCGGGCUUAACCUGGGAAUGGCAUUUUGAACUGGCAGUCUAGAGUGCGUCAGAGGGGGGUGGAAUUCCACGUGUAGCAGUGAAAUGCGUAGAGAUGUGGAGGAACACCAAUGGCGAAGGCAGCCCCCUGGGAUGACACUGACGCUCAUGUACGAAAGCGUGGGUAGCAAACAGGAUUAGAUACCCUGGUAGUCCACGCCCUAAACGAUGUCAACUGGUUGNNNGGGGAGUGAAAUCCCUUAGUAACGAAGCUAACGCGUGAAGUUGACCGCCUGGGGAGUACGGUCGCAAGAUUAAAACUCAAAGGAAUUGACGGGGACCCGCACAAGCGGUGGAUGAUGUGGAUUAAUUCGAUGCAACGCGAAAAACCUUACCUACCCUUGACAUGUCCAGAACCCUGCAGAGAUGCGGGGGUGCCCGAAAGGGAAUUGGAACACAGGUGCUGCAUGGCUGUCGUCAGCUCGUGUCGUGAGAUGUUGGGUUAAGUCCCGCAACGAGCGCAACCCUUAUCAUUAGUUGCUACGCAAGGGCACUCUAAUGAGACUGCCGGUGACAAACCGGAGGAAGGUGGGGAUGACGUCAAGUCCUCAUGGCCCUUAUGGGUAGGGCUUCACACGUCAUACAAUGGUCGGUACAGAGGGUUGCCAAGCCGCGAGGUGGAGCCAAUCCCAGAAAGCCGAUCGUAGUCCGGAUUGUUCUCUGCAACUCGAGAGCAUGAAGUCGGAAUCGCUAGUAAUCGCGGAUCAGCAUGUCGCGGUGAAUACGUUCCCGGGUCUU
rnacentral:rRNA from 1 species